CGUUAGGGGGCAGGCUUUAACACAUGCAAGUCGAGGGGUAACAGGAGUAGCUUGCUACUUGCUGACGACCGGCGCACGGGUGCGUAACGCGGUAUACAAUCUACCUUAUACUGGGGAAUAGCCUUUGGAAACGAAGAUUAAUGCCCCAUAGUAUUAUUGAAUGGCAUCGUUUAAUAAUUAAAACUCCGGUGGUAUAAGAUGAGUAUGCGUUCUAUUAGUUAGUUGGUAAGGUAACGGCUUACCAAGACAUCGAUAGAUAGGGGUCCUGAGAAGGGAGAUCCCCCACACUGGUACUGAGACACGGACCAGACUCCUACGGGAGGCAGCAGUGAGGAAUAUUGGACAAUGGGCGCAAGCCUGAUCCAGCCAUGCCGCGUGCAGGAAGACUGCCCUAUGGGUUGUAAACUGCUUUUAUAUGGGAAGAAUAAGGGGUACGUGUACUCUGAUGACGGUACCAUAAGAAUAAGCACCGGCUAACUCCGUGCCAGCAGCCGCGGUAAUACGGAGGGUGCAAGCGUUAUCCGGAAUCAUUGGGUUUAAAGGGUCCGUAGGCGGGCAUAUAAGUCAGUGGUGAAAUGCUGUGGCUCAACCAUAGCACUGCCAUUGAUACUGUAUGUCUUGAAUUAUUGUGAAGUGGUUAGAAUAUGUAGUGUAGCGGUGAAAUGCUUAGAUAUUACAUAGAAUACCGAUUGCGAAGGCAGAUCACUAACAAUAUAUUGACGCUGAUGGACGAAAGCGUAGGUAGCGAACAGGAUUAGAUACCCUGGUAGUCUACGCCGUAAACGAUGGGUACUAGUUGUUUGGCUUUCGGGCUGAGUGACUAAGCGAAAGUGAUA
rnacentral:rRNA from 1 species